rnacentral:pre_miRNA from 1 species
AGUGGAAUUGCUGGGCCGUAUGGUAACUCUCUGUUUAACUUUUUGAGGAACAGCCAGACUGUUUUCUAAAGUGACUGCACCAUUCCCCGUUCCCACCAGCAGU